rnacentral:rRNA from 1 species
UACGUAGGGGGCCAGCGUUGUCCGAAGUUACUGGGCGUAAAGCGCACGCAGGCGGUUCGCCAAGUUUGGAGUGACAGUUGUCGGCUCAACCGACAAAGGACUUCAAAAACUGGUGAACUUGAGGACGAGAGAGGAACAUGGAACUCCAGGUGUAGUAGUGAAAUGCGUAGAUAUCUGGAAGAACACCAAUGGCGAAGGCAAUGUUCUGGCUCGUUUCUGACGCUCAGGUGCGAAAGCCAGGGGAGCGAACGGG